rnacentral:rRNA from 1 species
UAGGGAAUCUUCGGCAAUGGACGGAAGUCUGACCGAGCAACGCCGCGUGAGUGAAGAAGGUUUUCGGAUCGUAAAGCUCUGUUGUAAGAGAAGAACGAGUGUGAGAGUGGAAAGUUCACACUGUGACGGUAUCUUACCAGAAAGGGACGGCUAACUACGUGCCAGCAGCCGCGGUAAUACGUAGGUCCCGAGCGUUGUCCGGAUUUAUUGGGCGUAAAGCGAGCGCAGGCGGUUAGAUAAGUCUGAAGUUAAAGGCUGUGGCUUAACCAUAGUAUGCUUUGGAAACUGUUUAACUUGAGUGCAAGAGGGGAGAGUGGAAUUCCAUGUGUAGCGGUGAAAUGCGUAGAUAUAUGGAGGAACACCGGUGGCGAAAGCGGCUCUCUGGCUUGUAACUGACGCUGAGGCUCGAAAGCGUGGGGAGCAAACAGGAUUAGAUACCCUGGUAGUCCACGCCGUAAACGAUGAGUGCUAGGUGUUAGACCCUUUCCGGGGUUUAGUGCCGCAGCUAACGCAUUAAGCACUCCGCCUGGGGAGUACGACCGCAAGGUUG